ACACAAACUAUCUGGGCAGCUUGUUAAAAUGCAGAUUCUGUUUCUGCAGGGCUGGGGGCCUGAGAUUCUGCAUUUCUAACAGGCUUCCAGGUGAUACCUGU
rnacentral:pre_miRNA from 1 species